CCUACGGGUGGCAGCAGUGAGGAAUAUUGGUCAAUGGGCGGGAGCCUGAACCAGCCAAGUCGCGUGAGGGACGACGGUCCUAUGGAUUGUAAACUGCUUUUGUCGGGGAACAAAGCCCCCUACGUGUGGGCCGUUGCGUGUACCCUAAGAAUAAGCAUCGGCUAACUCCGUGCCAGCAGCCGCGGUAAUACGGAGGGUCCGAGCGUUAUCCGGAUUUAUUGGGUUUAAAGGGUGCGUAGGCGGACUGUCAAGUUCGCGGUAAAAUUGCGGGGCUAAACGCGGUACAGCCGUGGAAACCGGCAGGCUUGAGUGGGCGGAAAGUAGGCGGAAUGCGUGGUGUAGCGGUGAAAUGCAGAGAUAUGACGAAGAACUCCGAUUGCGAAGGCAGCAUGCUGGAGCGGGACUGACGCUGAGGCACGAAAGCGUGGGUAUCGAACAGGAUUAGAUACCCCUGUAGUC
rnacentral:rRNA from 1 species